rnacentral:lncRNA from 1 species
ACGCUCUCCUGCUAACCAGGUCACGUCUGGAUUCCUCAACGCUCAUCUCCGCCUGGCCUUCGGUUUCCGUACAAAAUGGUGUCUCACAGCUCUGACUCUCACCUUACAUUGCUUCCAGCCCAUCCUCUACCACUGAUAAAUGAAACUUAAAUAUGGGAGGGUUGUGCCGAGAAAAACUACGGAGGAUAAUGAAAGUCGAGAGACCCUGAUUUUCUUCCAGGCAUAGACCCUUUCCUUCAAGGGCAAGCUCCAGUAUGGGGGCUCAGCACACCCUGCUCCAGAGGCACAGAGAGAAAACAUCCUACAUCAGCCACUCCUGCCCAAUAGUACGGAGGGGAGCAGAAGCUUCAGAGCCCACUCCUGCAGGGCUCAUGAUACAUGGUAAACCUGGCUGCAGCCCACCUCUGAAACAGCCACAGCACCUGCCAUGAGAGAAGGAACCCUGGAAUCUACAAACCAAUUUUCCAGGCCUCUCUCCCUUCCCUUUGCUACUGCUCCCUUUCUAUGCCUUAAAAA